AGGAAGUGAAUAGUGUGAAAGUUCUUUAACUUGAAACUGCAGCUGGUGCAGCAAUAUGGUUCUUCAAUCAUGCUAUUGGGCUUAAUGCUCUUCACUCUUGCUUCCUCCCUGUGAAAGCAACAUCAGACUUGAUGCUAGUCCAGUCGGAUCUCUAUACUCUCGUCGAUGGCUUUGUGAUCCGCAACCAAGCUAGAUCAAACCCUGUGAACCACACAAUUGAAUAAGGUCCUGAAUAUAAGAAGGUUGGUGAUUUCCUUAGCUGGUUCAAGUCUAUUCCGAGCAUUGUGGAUCUUGCUGGUGAUGUAUGGUUUGGUGCUGUCAUAGUUUUCAAGGGCAAGGUGACAAUCACCAACAAAUCUGGCAAGAUGCCUAAAAUUCCCAAUGGGAUCAUUCUUGAGAACAAGGAUGUCAUUGGCCCUGAGGACAUCUGAGUAUCUUUCCCUAGAGCAUUUGUCAGUCGGAGCUUUGCUUGUUUAGUAUGAUCGUCCUGUUGUUUAUCAGUUCAGUUCCUUUUGAUCGUAGUAGCAUUAGCCGCUCUACAAUAUUUGAGAGCCGUGCAUUUGAGUUUUGACACUUAUAAAGUUAACAAAUAAAGGAGAAUAUGUAGGAGAACUCAUGAUUCAAGAUUAAGAGGUUGGAAGAUUAUAGAGCUACUAGAUGGUGUUGUUAUUAUUAUUAUUAUUAUUGGUACUUGUACAUGUAAACAAUUGUAAUUGAGAUAGAUAAGAGGUGCUAAGUUUUCUUUAUGGUGUACUCACAAAAUACAUUAUCCUUGUGAUGAUCAUGAUUUGCCAAUCACUCAAAGAAGAAACCAAAAUAAGUUAAAGAAGUC